UGUUUUCCUCUCAUGACCGGCUAACUAACCCAAAUUAUUUCGGGUCAUUUUUGACCCCGAUGGAGCGGAGUCAGCGUUCAGCCUCUAAUUUCCUCCUGGCAGCGAGUCUUCAAACAUGUCACGGAAACAUGAUGAAACCGCGACUUUCAGAGAAAUUAAAUCAUCAGACGGUUGGUUAGCUGCUGCACAGGCCGGAGGCAGCGCUGGAGCUGCUGGUCAUCGAUCGCACAGGGUGUGUGUGUGUGUGUGGAGGCAAUUACUCUGAUUUGCAGAGUCACACGGAAUGCUGUGAGGAAUGCGGAGCGGCCCGAUGUGAUUGGUCCAGGUGAGCCAGCCUGAUUACUUCCUGUUUGACCGCCUGCUGCGGCUGAACGGCACGAACCAAAGUCAGACUCGAUAAAAAGUUCACUGCAGUACGGAGGAAGUGAUCAGAUUAUCAGUCACUUAAUGACCAAAAUAUAAAGUCAUGAAGAAGGAGAAGAAAGUACCAAAAAAUAAAAUCAGGCAAAAUCAAAUGUUUCCAAUCUUUGAGUAAAAACCUUGAACAGAAGCUGCAGAACCCGACUGACGACAUGAAGAACAGGUCCGCCUCCGAGGUUCUGAUUGGACCGGAACAACAUCAGUAGCGCUGCAGGCCUGCCCGAAUCAGUAAAGGUCAGAGGUCAUGGUUCAAUGGUAAAGAAGAGAGAAAAAUGGUCUCCAAGACCAGAGCUACAAUCCAACGCUCUCCACCAAGUCCGAGCGGCCUAGUCAAAGCCCAAACUUAAAUCCAGUUGACACCAACAUGUUGUUCCAACAAGGCUCAAUUUACUCAGCAGAGCGGGUCAAAGGUCAUCCACAGUGACCUUAAAGCAAGUCGACUGCGAAUCAUAAAUGUUUCUAGAAAUGAACAAAUUAAACAUUUAUAUGAACAUACAAAAUGCGAGUUUAUCGUGUUUUAUUGUGUUUUUAUCAAAUCCUGCACUUUGGUUUUGUUUCUGUCACUUCCUGGACGAUUUCGACUUGGCUGUGAUUGGCUCCUUUCACCCAGUAAACACUCUGAUUGGAUGAAACGGAUUUGCUGCGUUUCUUUGACUGUGACAGAUACAGAAACAUUUCGUGGCUUUUUGUCCUUGUUGGUGUUCCGUAGUAAGCUGCUGCUCAGCGUCACCAAUUAUUGUUUGCUUACAUAAAUAUAUGCGCUCACAUCGGUUUGACUCAGACAAAGCCACAGACGGGCAACAGUUAAUAAAAAUGAAGGAUGUUAAAUAGUUUUAUCACCAGCUGCUGGUCUGCAGGUGGGAUAACAUUUCCACGCAGAACCAGUUUAGGAGGAGUUAAAGUUAAAGAGUCCCGAAGGAUGACGAGAAAAGUUUUCAUGAAACUCAAACUGCAGGAAAAUAUAAAUGAUAUUUGUGGCUGAAGCUCCGGGCGGAGCGCCGCGG